rnacentral:lncRNA from 1 species
CAUUUUGUUCACCAUCGUGAAGCGACUUCGGCAUUUUCUCGUGUCGUGAAGCAGUAAGCAGCCACUGGCAAUAAGCUGAGAACCGCGUGCGCCUCGGCAUGGGAGGAUCUUGCCUCAUCUCAUCAAUGUUGGCACUUCUGCGCUCUUUAAUAAAAAGGAUAUACGCGCCAACGAAGGUCUAACCGCCUGACCGCGUGCAGCAGCUAGGAAUACCUUCAUAACAAGUAGGAAUUUCCACGGCAAAUGGCGCGACUAAUAAUGUAUGAGUUGCGGGUAGUGGUUUUACCGUAGCAGUAUGUAGUAUAUGGCGAAGUCAGUCGAGUCUCGGCGUUGCCUAUAGCUCUUACAGCUUCGAUUACCAACUGCAGGAUUCGUAUCCAUGAACAAGUGGCGGACGCGGCGACGCACUCUGGAGAUACCAAUCACAGUUCCUGCGACAACAUCAACGACAGCAACAUCCAGUCCGGCCGUCGACGACGUAUGGAGUCAUCGUUAUUUCGCAUGCCCUCCUAUGACACCUCGACCGUUGUGUUACGCCUGACAUAAGAGGGCGCAUUAAAUUCUGUGAUCAGCGAGUACGUUAGUGCUGUUACGGCAGAGCCAAAUCUAUCAAUGAAUUACAUAUGAAUGUCAAGCCAGCCCCGCAAGGUAAGACUUACGUACGGCGAAAGGGAAGGGAACUGGCAGUUUUUUACGUGAGCACAUGAGACACAAUGAAAAAGAGAAAGCUUGACGAAAGGUAAUAAAUUGGGUAAGCCGCAGGAUCAAGCCAAGCUUUACAGAUGUACGUAGUAAAAACACGCAGCGCGUAGCGUAAGUAGCAAAGCUUUGCGCUCAAAGAGAUCAGUCAGAGGGCGCUGCUGCAAGUGUUCCUAACGGCGUACGCUACACAACCUGUGCCUUCUAACCCACCAGCGACCCUCCGACCGAUCGCCCGCCCGGCUGGCAUCAAUUUCAUGUCAUCACCGUACGAAGCGGCGAUGGCGACGGCGACGGCGACGGCGGGGUCUUCUCCGCCGUGUUGCCUUCACGCAGACAGAGGCCGGGAAGAUAAGAUCGUGGUGCAAAUGGGGUGGUAAUAACCCGUCAUAGUAUUGAUCGAGUCUUGCGCUGUAUUAUUGCAUCAGCUUGUUUUAACGAUUCUAUCAUAUCGCUUUAGUUUUACAAUUGGGUGGUGGUCAUCUUGCACAGCGGUCCAUUGAUAUUAAGCCAUUACCACCAUGUAGGUUGUAAACAGCGGGAAGUUUCAACGACAAACUCGUGGAGCAAACAAAUUGUCGACUUGUUUACUCUGGAUAGAACGUGCUCGACUCCACGGCAGAAAAUCAAGCUAAAAAUAUGGUCUUCCUGCCCGUUUUUGCUCGACUCUGUAAAGCGUUGUUGCUAAGUUCUAGUUUGUUCUAGUGUCCAAUCACUAUCUUACUUCUAUACCUUGGUUUAUUUUUUUAAUCAAGAUAAGCUGGCACGAGGCCAUUCACUUACGUAUGUUUGAGAGUAAUUGAAUUUACAAAUUUUCAUAUCAAUGACGCUUUAGAGAAACUGAACCCCAUUUUGCCAGGAAACGCAACGAUCACUGUACAUUUUCCAGGCGUUUUUUGAGAACACUUUCAAUAUGUUGCACAGUAGGACGAUCUUUGUUUGUUUGUUUGUUUGUUUUUAAACUUACCUAUGUGUAAACGAAGUGGAGUUUUUUUUUCAAGGGGUAUUCACCAGACUGUGAAGCUAAAAUAAUAUUUCUUACAGUAUAUGCAAUCUAGAUUGGUUUUAUUGCUAUUUGAUUUGAUACUAUUUUUAGUAGCGGGGCAACCGUGUUCUUCCUAACAGAAUUCCAAAUCAGAAAAGUUAUGUUUGAAACUCUGCACGAUUUAAUUCGGCACUGGUUGCCGUUGGGUCAGAAGGCAACAAACUAAGGACUAAUUUAAUUAGCAUGGCAUUAAAAAAAAGCCCCCUUGAUCCAAACAAGUUUCUACCUGUGUAAUAUUUCCAGAAGUCUAU